AGAGUUUGAUCCUGGCUCAGGACGAACGCUGGCGGCGUGCCUAAUACAUGCAAGUCGAGCGGACAGAUGGGAGCGCUCCCUGAUGUUAGCGGCGGACGGGUAACACGUGGGUAACCUGCCUGUGGGCAACUCUGGAAACCGGGGCUGNACGGAUGGUUGUUUGAACCGCAUGGUUCAAACAUAAAGGUGGCUUCGGCUACCACUUGCAGAUGGACCCGCGGCGCAUUAGUANUUGGUGAGGUAAUGGCUCACCAAACGAUGCGUAGCCGAAGAGGGUGAUCGGCCACACAGGAUGAGACACGGCCCAGACUCCUACGGGAGCAGUAGGAAUCUUCCGCAAUGGACGAAAGUCUGACGGAGCACCGCCGCGUGAGUGAUGAAGGUUUCGGAUCGUAAAGCUCUGUUGUUAGGGAAGAACNCGUUCGAAAGGGCGGUACCUUGACGGUACCUAACCAGAAAGCCACGGCACUACGUGCCAGCAGCCGCGGUAAUACAGGUGGCGNCGGCUGUCCGAAUUAUUGGGCGUAAAAAUCGCAGGCGGUUUCUUAAGUCUGAUGUGAAAGCCCAGCUCAACCGGGAGGGUCAUUGAAACUGGGAACUUGAGUGCAGAAGAGGAGAGUGGAAUUCCAGUGUAGCGGUGAAAUGCGNAGGAUGGAGGAACACCAGUGGCGAAGGCGACUCUCUGGUCUGGUAACUGACGCUGAGGAGCGAAAGCGUGGGAGCGAACAGGAUUAGAUACCCUGGUAGUCCGCCGUAAACGAUGAGUGCUAAGUGUUAGGGUUUCGCCCUUAGUGCUGCAGCUAACGCAUUAAGCACUCCGCCUGGGAGUACGGUCGCAAGACUGAAACUCAAAGAAUGACGGGCCCGAGCGGUGGAGCAUGGUUUAAUUCGAAGCAACGCGAAGAACCUUACCAGGUCUUGACAUCCUCUGACAAUCCUAGAGAUACGUUCCCCUUCAGGGGCAGAGUGACAGGUGGUGCAUGGUUGUCGUCAGCUCGUGUCGGAGAUGUCGGGUUAAGUCCCGCAACGAGCGCAACCCUUGAUCUUAGUUGCCAGCAUUCAGUUGGGCACUCUAAGGUGACUGCCGGUGACAAACCGGAGGAAGGUGGGGAUGACGUCAAUCAUGCCCUUAUGACCUGGGCUACACACGUGCUACANGGACAGGAACAAGCGCAGCGAAACCGCGAGGUNUANAAUCCCACAAAUCUGUUCUCAGUUCGGAUCGCAGUCUGCAACUCGACUGCGUGAAGCUGGAAUCGCUGGUAUCGCGGAUCAGCAUGCCGCGGUGAAUACGUUCCGGCCUUGUACACACCGCCCGUCACACCACGAGAGUUUGUAACACCCGAAGUCGGUGAGGUAACCUUUAGGAGCCAGCCGAAGGUGGGACAGAUGAUUNGGUGAAGUCGUAACAAGGUAGCCGUAUCGGUUGGUGCGGCUG
rnacentral:rRNA from 1 species